AAACAGAUAAGAGGAAAGAGUAGAGGGUAGGAAGGAAACAGCAAAUAUAAUGGAGGGAAGUGUUAGGGUGAGGUUAAUUUGUAAUAUCUGUGAAGCAGGAAGUCGAAGUCCAUUACUUACUAUUAAAGAAUCAUCAUCGUCAUCAUUAUUAUGGUCACGGAGGUGGUGGAUGAGGAAUGGCAAGGCAAACGGAAAUGGAGUAUCAAAAAAGAGAGGAAUGAGUAGUAUGAUUAAGGCAGAAAGGAAAGAGAGAGAGAGAGAGAUCUCAGAAAUAAGGGUUUGCACGAACCGGACAUGUCGCAGGCAAGGCUCCCUGGAAACCUUAGAAACGCUCUUGGCUCUUGCUCCUCCAAACCUGACCGUCAAGUCCUGUGGCUGCUUGGGCCGUUGUGGCUCAGGCCCUAACCUAGUGGCUCUACCCAAUCCAGUUAUAGUCGGACACUGUGGUACACCUGCUCGAGCUGCCCACAUCAUGGUCCAAUUAUUAUUAUGCGGUGGAGAUGAUGAUUCAUCGGUGGCCAGGCUGAGUCUGGAAGCUUUAGCAUUGAGCAAGAGUGCCCAGAAUGAGUUCUCACAGGCUAAUUUCUCCCAGGCAGACCUCCUGCUCUCACAGGCCAUCAAUUUAAAACCAUUUGGUGCUAUCCAUAUUUUGUAUUUGGACAGGUCUCGUGCAAGGUUAGCGUUGGGAAAUUAUUCAGGGGCUCUUGAAGAUGCCAGAGAAGCUUUGAAUUUUGCUCCUCACUAUCCUCAGGCUUAUAUCUGCCUGGGUGAUGCUUUCUUAGCUAUGGACCAGUUUGAUUCAGCUGAGAGUUCAUAUUUAACAUCUUUGCAUAUAGAUCCUUCAGUUCGUCAUUCCAAAUCAUUCAAGACUUUGCAGUCUCACGCAUAAUUAAGCUUACUACCAGCCAAUGGAAUUAGUAUGAAAGGACUGAAAAUUAUUCAAAAUGGAAAGCUGCAUUUGAACUCUUCAAGCAAGUUCCAGCUCGGAUUGCAAAGCUUCAGGAGAAACUUGCUGCUGCUAACAUGUCUUGAGAUUUGCAAUGUGACUGAAUUUACAUUUGAAUCAAUUACAAUAUACAAAAAUAAGCGAGGCAAUGUGCUAUUUCCAGGUGAAAGCUUAUAGCUUUAAUACCCUUUAACCUUUUUGCCAAAAUAUGAUUUCACGCAUACCUAUUUUCUAUUUUGAAGCACUAUGAAAUUCUGUAGUGCUCUAUUUCACAAUCAGUUAAAACGAAUAAGAUACAUGUAGGUUGUGUUUGGAUGGCAACAUUUGGAUUUGGAUUUGAAAUUCAUUAAUUUGAAAUCCCUUUAUUUGAAAUCCAUUAAUUUUAAAAUUC